GGAGUGGUAGCUCAACUGGUUAGAGCAUUCGCCUGUCACGCGAAAGGUUGCGAGUUCGAGCCUCGUCCAUUCCG
rnacentral:tRNA from 1 species